AUACGGAGGAUCCGAGCGUUAUCCGGAUUUAUUGGGUUUAAAGGGUGCGCAGGCGGCCAUUUAAGUCAGCGGUUAAAUCGUGGGGCUCAACCCCAUUCUGUCGUUGAUACUGGGUGGCUUGAUUGCGGUCGAGGUUGGCGGAAUUCGUUGUGUAGCGGUGAAAUGCAUAGAUAUGACGAAGAACACCGAUUGCGUAGGCAGCUGACCAGAUCGCAAAUGACGCUCAUGCACGAAAGUGCGGGGAUCGGACAGGAUUAGAUACCCUGGUAGUCCGCACAGUAAACGAUGAAUACUUGUUUUCGGCGAUAUAAUGUCGGAGGCAAAGCGAAAGCGAUAAGUAUUCCACCUGGGGAGUACGCCGGCAACGGUGAAACUCAAAGGAAUUGACGGGG
rnacentral:rRNA from 1 species